GGUGGAAAUAGGAGGCCAGUUUAUUCUGAGAAAAACUUGAAGCUCUGUACACAUACAGUCCUCCCCAGGUCUUUCCCCCAGCCACAGAAGCAUAAGUCUGGAAGGUACAGGAAAACCUUCAGUUGCUGAAUCUGACUUCACUGAAGAAGCUAAAACAGUUCAGUGCAUUUUCAGCCCUCCAAAUAUUAGCUGUUACUGAUCCUCCGCCUCCCCCAGACCUCUCCUCACUACCUUGUAACCUGCUUUGUGACAAAUUUUGAGCUGACCCUGGAGUAUAGCAACAAACAAGACACCAUUCUUUCCCCGAGGCUCUCCCAGAAAAAUGACUGGACCACUAACUGGAAGACUAUGGGAUUGGUGCCUUUCUUAGGAAAUGUGCAAAGCUCUGUGUGGACACAGGUUCAGAUCUGGUUCUCUUUUUUGGAGGACUACCCUCAGGCUACUGCAGCCACCUCAAAAUCAAGAUCAAAGAGUCAGAUGUUCAUGUCCCUCUCUGGCUCCUUGUGAGGAUAGAUUUUGAAAUCUCCCUGGCCUCCAGAGUUCCCUGCAGGGUGACGCUGAAUCUACUCCAUGGAUCUUGGAGUGCCUGGUCUUCAUUUCUUCCUCCUCCUUCUGCUUUCCCCGCUUAGCCAGGUUCCUGGGAGAG
rnacentral:lncRNA from 1 species